GAUGAACGCUGGCGGCGUGCCUAAUACAUGCAAGUCGAGCGAACGGACGAGAAGCUUGCUUUUCUGAUGUUAGCGGCGGACGGGUGAGUAACACGUGGAUAACCUACCUAUAAGUCUGGGAUAACUUCGGGAAACCGGAGCUAAUACCGGAUAAUAUUUUGAACCGCAGGGUUCAAAAGUGAAAGACGGCCUUGCUGUCACUUAUAGAUGGAUCCGCGCUGCAUUAGCUAGUUGGUAAGGUAACGGCUUACCAAGGCAACGAUGCAUAGCCGACCUGAGAGGGUGAUCAGCCACACUGGAACUGAGACACGGUCCAGACUCCUACGGGAGGCAGCAGUAGGGAAUCUUCCGCAAUGGGCGAAAGCCUGACGGAGCAACGCCGCGUGAGUGAUGAAGGUCUUCGGAUCGUAAAACUCUGUUAUUAGGGAAGAACAUCUGUGUAAGUAACUGUGCACAUCUUGACGGUACCUAAUCAGAAAGCCACGGCUAACUACGUG
rnacentral:rRNA from 1 species